rnacentral:rRNA from 1 species
CUCAUUAAAUCAGUUAUAGUUUAUUUGAUGGUCUCUUUUGUCUUUUUUUACCUACUUGGAUAACCGUGGUAAUUCUAGAGCUAAUACAUGCGCAAGGUCCCGAGCGCGGGGGGUGGGGCUUCACGGCUUUACUCUUGCAUGCGUAGAGGGAUGUGUUUAUCAGGUUAAAAACCAGCAGCCAGCAAUGGCUACAAUCUCCUGGUGAUUCAUAGUAACUCUUUCGGAUCGCAUUCAUG